AAUGAACGCUGGCGGCAUGCCUAACACAUGCAAGUCGAACGAAAACACGAGGAACUUUGCCCCCUGGCUGUCGAGUGGGAGGGGUGAGUGACAUGUGUAGGACAUAGCUAGAAGAAGGGGAAAACUUCCUGAAACCGGUUCUUAUAACCGAAAAUCUAUUGAAGCGCAAUGAGCGAGAGUGGCAGACGGUUUUUCUUUGGCUUAUAGCUGAAGCAGCGCAUCAUUAGAUAGUGGGCGGGGUAACGGCUUAGCCAGGCGACGAUUCUUAGGCGACCUGAGAGGGUGAUCAGCCACACUGGAUCUGAGACACGGUCCACACUCCUACGGGAGGAAGCAGUAGGGACUCUUGCGCAAUGGGCGAAAGCCUGAUGCAGCAAUGCCGCGUGAAUGAUGAAGGACUUCGGCUCGUAAAGUACUGUUAGCCGGGAGGAAGUAAGGAGCAUUUACCCCUGAACAUAUUGACGGUACCCGCAGAAAAAGCUCCGGCUAACUCCGUG
rnacentral:rRNA from 1 species